rnacentral:rRNA from 1 species
GCAUAUCAAUAAGCGGAGGAAAAGAAACUAACAAGGAUUCCCCUAGUAACGGCGAGUGAACCGGGAAGAGCUCAAAUUUGAAAUCUGGCGUCCUCAGGGCGUCCGAGUUGUAAUCUAUAGAGGCGUUUUCCGUGCCGGACCGUGUCCAAGUUCCUUGGAACAGGAUAUCAAAGAGGGUGACAAUCCCGUACUUGACACGACGACCGGUGCUCUGUGAUACGUCUUCUACGAGUCGAGUUGUUUGGGAAUGCAGCUCAAAAUGGGUGGUGAGUUCCAUCUAAAGCUAAAUAUUGGCGAGAGACCGAUAGCGAACAAGUACCGUGAGGGAAAGAUGAAAAGCACUUUGGAAAGAGAGUUAAACAGUACGUGAAAUUGUUGAAAGGGAAACGAUUGAAGUCAGUCGUGACCGAGAGGCUCAGCCGGUUCUGCCGGUGUAUUCCCCUCGGUCGGGUCAACAUCAGUUUUGUCCGGUGGAUAAGGGCGGUAGGAAGGUGGCACCCUCGGGUGUGUUAUAGCCUGCCGUCGCAUACAUCGGGUGAGACUGAGGAACGCAGCUCGCCUUUAUGGCCGGGGUUCGCCCACGUCCGAGCUUAGGAU